CCUACGGGCGGCUGCAGUGGGGAAUAUUGCACAAUGGGGGGAACCCUGAUGCAGCGACGCCGCGUGGGUGAGGAAGGACUUCGGUAUGUAAAGCCCUAUCAGCAGGGAAGAAAAUGACGGUACCUGACUAAGAAGCCCCGGCUAACUACGUGCCAGCAGCCGCGGUAAUACGUAGGGGGCAAGCGUUAUCCGGAUUUACUGGGUGUAAAGGGAGCGUAGACGGCGUGCCAAGUCUGAUGUGAAAGGCAGGGGCUUAACCCCGGGACUGCAUUGGAAACUGGCAUGCUGGAGUGCAGGAGGGGUAAGCGGAAUUCCUAGUGUAGCGGUGAAAUGCGUAGAGAUUAGGAGGAACACCGGUGGCGAAGGCGGCUUGCUGGACGGUAACUGACGUUGAGGCUCGAAAGCGUGGGGAGCAAACAGGAUUAGAUACCCGAGUAGUC
rnacentral:rRNA from 1 species